rnacentral:rRNA from 1 species
ACGCUGGCGGCAGGCCUAACACAUGCAAGUCGAGCGGUAGAGAGAAGCUUGCUUCUCUUGAGAGCGGCGGACGGGUGAGUAAUGCCUAGGAAUCUGCCUGGUAGUGGGGGAUAACGUCCGGAAACGGACGCUAAUACCGCAUACGUCCUACGGGAGAAAGCAGGGGACCUUCGGGCCUUGCGCUAUCAGAUGAGCCUAGGUCGGAUUAGCUAGUUGGUGGGGUAAUGGCUCACCAAGGCGACGAUCCGUAACUGGUCUGAGAGGAUGAUCAGUCACACUGGAACUGAGACACGGUCCAGACUCCUACGGGAGGCAGCAGUGGGGAAUAUUGGACAAUGGGCGAAAGCCUGAUCCAGCCAUGCCGCGUGUGUGAAGAAGGUCUUCGGAUUGUAAAGCACUUUAAGUUGGGAGGAAGGGCAGUUACUUAAUACUUUGCUGUUUUGACGUUACCGACAGAAUAAGCACCGGCUAACUCUGUGCCAGCAGCCGCGGUAAUACAGAGGGUGCAAGCGUUAAUCGGAAUUACUGGGCGUAAAGCGCGCGUAGGUGGUUCGUUAAGUUGGAUGUGAAAUCCCCGGGCUCAACCUGGGAACUGCAUUCAAACUGACGAGCUAGAGUAUGGUAGAAGGGUGGUGGAAUUUCCUGUGUAGCGGUGAAAUGC